rnacentral:rRNA from 1 species
UUACUACACCGUAUUCUGUGAGUUGCGAACGGGUGAGUAACGCGUAGGUAACCUGCCUGGUAGCGGGGGAUAACUAUUGGAAACGAUAGCUAAUACCGCAUAAGAACAUUUACUGCAUGGUAGAUGUUUAAAAGGUGCAAAAGCAUCACUACCAGAUGGACCUGCGUUGUAUUAGCUAGUUGGUGAGGUAACGGCUCACCAAGGCAACGAUACAUAGCCGACCUGAGAGGGUGAUCGGCCACACUGGGACUGAGACACGGCCCAGACUCCUACGGGAGGCAGCAGUAGGGAAUCUUCGGCAAUGGGGGGAACCCUGACCGAGCAACGCCGCGUGAGUGAAGAAGGUUUUCGGAUCGUAAAGCUCUGUUGUUAAGGAAGAACGUGUGUGAGAGUGGAAAGUUCACACAGUGACGGUACUUAACCAGAAAGGGACGGCUAACUACGUGCCAGCAGCCGCGGUAAUACGUAGGUCCCGAGCGUUGUCCGGAUUUAUUGGGCGUAAGGCGAGCGCAGGCGGUUAGAUAAGUCUGAAGUGAAAGGCAGUGGCUCAACCAUUGUAGGCUUUGGAAACUGUUUAACUUGAGUGCAGAAGGGGAGAGUGGAAUUCCAUGUGUAGCGGUGAAAUGCGUAGAUAUAUGGAGGAACACCGGUGGCGAAAGCGGCUCUCUGGUCUGUAACUGACGCUGAGGCUCGAAAGCGUGGGGAGCGAACAGGAUUAGAUACCCUGGUAGUCCACGCCGUAAACGAUGAGUGCUAGGUGUUAGGUCCUUUCCGGGACUUAGUGCCGCAGCUAACG